CAAUGACGAGAGCAAUUAAACUCAAUGAGUAAAGGAUAUAUUCUCUCAUUCUGUUAGUUGGGAGGGGCUGUCACCAGCUUGCAGUGACUGGCAUGAAUCCAGGUCGGUUUUCCCUCCCACUUGACUGCACUCGGAGAAAUUAGAAUAACACGACAGGGUCCCUCGUACCGUUUUUCCAAGGUAUGUCUUUGGAAUACCUUAACGACAACCCAAUCUCCGGGUUUCAGAUUAUGAGUUCCUUCACACGUGUUCUGGAAUCUGGAAUAGAAUUAUACACAUUUCUGUGCAACAUGGCAGAACCAGUAGAGAGGAAGAAACUGAACCCCGGGAAUGGCAGUGAGCCCCCUUGUUGAGCAGAAAUGAUCACCAAUAAUAAUCAUGAAGUCUGAGCCUGAAGUUGUUCUACAUUGUUGAAAGAAAAGAAUAAAAGUAAUAAAUGAUAUGAUCUGA